GACGAACGCUGGCGGCGUGCUUAACACAUGCAAGUCGAGCGGAAAGGCCCUUCGGGGUACGUCGAGCGGCGAACGGGUGAGUAACACGUGAGCAACCUGCCCUACGCUUUGGGAUAACCCUCGGAAACGGGGGCUAAUAACCGGAUAUUCACUACUGGUCGCAUGGUUGGUGGUGGAAAGUUUUUCGGCGUGGGAGUGGGCUCGCGGCCUAUCAGCUUGUUGGUGGGGUGAUGGCCUACCAAGGCGACGACGGGUAGCCGGCCUGAGAGGGCGACCGGCCACACUGGGACUGAGACACGGCCCAGACUCCUACGGGAGGCAGCAGUGGGGAAUAUUGGACAAUGGGCGGAAGCCUGAUCCAGCAACGCCGCGUGAGGG
rnacentral:rRNA from 1 species